UCAGGACCCCAGGGUGUCCUCACCCCCAGCAUCCUUCUGACAGCCUCCAGCCGGGACAGGAUUCGUGGGGCCUCCUGUGGACAUAGCAUCUGUAGCUCCCCAGGUCUUAUGCGAAGUAGCUGGCUCCCCGUCAGGGACCCAAGUGUCCUCACCGUGCUGUACUCACGCAGUGGAGAAGUUCUCUGCCUGCAGCCAGUCUGUGACCUCUUCAGGCCUCGAGCUAAGUCGAAGCAUUGGGGGCUCCAGGAUGUUGCUUGGAAUGUAGCCGCUCUGUCCCGCCUCAUUCUUCACCAGCCACCACCGCUUGCUGUGGUCCAGAACCUGCCAAGAGUCACCACCUCAGUCCCCUGAGCCUCCCUCACCUCCAGCUUCUCUCCCUGGACCACAGUCAGUUCCCGUGAGUUCCUAGCUUCAAACUCGUACAAGACUUGCAUUUUCAGGGCUG
rnacentral:lncRNA from 1 species